rnacentral:rRNA from 1 species
UACGGAGGGUGCGAGCGUUGUCCGGAAUUAUUGGGCGUAAAGAGCUCGUAGGCGGUGUGUCGCGUCGGCCGUGAAAACCUGCAGCUUAACUGUGGGCUUGCGGUCGAUACGGGCAUCACUGGAGUUCGGCAGGGGAGACUGGAAUUCCUGGUGUAGCGGUGAAAUGCGCAGAUAUCAGGAGGAACACCGGUGGCGAAGGCGGGUCUCUGGGCCGAUACUGACGCUGAGGAGCGAAAGCAUGGGGGAGCGAACAGG